rnacentral:rRNA from 1 species
AACGCUGGCGGCGUGCCUAAUACAUGCAAGUCGAACGCACAGCGAAAGGUGCUUGCACCUUUCAAGUGAGUGGCGAACGGGUGAGUAACACGUGGAUAACCUACCUCAAGGUUGGGGAUAACAUUUGGAAACAGAUGCUAAUACCGAAUAAAACUUCGUAUCGCAUGAUACAAGGUUAAAAGGCGCUACGGCGUCACCUAGAGAUGGAUCCGCGGUGCAUUAGUUAGUUGGUGGGGUAAAGGCCUACCAAGACAAUGAUGCAUAGCCGAGUUGAGAGACUGAUCGGCCACAUUGGGACUGAGACACGGCCCAAACUCCUACGGGAGGCUGCAGUAGGGAAUCUUCCACAAUGGGCGAAAGCCUGAUGGAGCAACGCCGCGUGUGUGAUGAAGGCUUUCGGGUCGUAAAGCACUGUUGUAUGGGAAGAACAGCUAGAGUAGGGAAUGACUUUAGUUUGACGGUACCAUACCAGAAAGGGACGGCUAAAUACGUGCCAGCAGCCGCGGUAAUACGUAUGUCCCGAGCGUUAUCCGGAUUUAUUGGGCGUAAAGCGAGCGCAGACGGUUGAUUAAGUCUGAUGUGAAAGCCCGGAGCUCAACUCCGGAAAGGCAUUGGAAACUGGUCAACUUGAGUGCAGUAGAGGUAAGUGGAACUCCAUGUGUAGCGGUGGAAUGCGUAGAUAUAUGGAAGAACACCAGCGGCGAAGGCGGCUUACUGGACUGUAACUGACGUUGAGGCUCGAAAGUGUGGGUAGCAAACAGGAUUAGAUACCCUGGUAGUCCACACCGUAAACGAUGAACACUAGG